rnacentral:misc_RNA from 1 species
AACAAAUGGAUAAGACUUGGUCUUAGUGUAUUAGGAGUUUUUUAAACUAGAAUCACAUAAGGAGCAAUAAAUUCUCUUGAGAGAACAAGAAAGAGUUUAUUGCUCCUUAAUUUUCUUUUCAAUUAUUAGUAUUUUUUAGUAACAUUGUACUUACUUACAUUUUUCUUCUUUCCAUUACAGAAGAAGAAGGAAAAGGUAUUCGAUUCUUAAUCUUAGGGGUUGAUUAAUGAUUGAGUAUUAUUCGUUCGUUCUUUAGGAAUUUUUUGUAUCUAUCUAACUUAUCUAGGGGCGGAUG